ACAUGCAGUCGAGCGGACCGACGGGAGCUUGCUCCCUUAGGUCAGCGGCGGACGGGUGAGUAACACGUGGGUAACCUGCCUGUAAGACUGGGAUAACUCCGGGAAACCGGGGCUAAUACCGGAUGCUUGAUUGAACCGCAUGGUUCAAUCAUAAAAGGUGGCUUUUAGCUACCACUUACAGAUGGACCCGCGGCGCAAUAGCUAGUUGGUGAGGUAACGGCUCACCAAGGCGACGAUGCGUAGCCCACCUGAGAGGGUGAUCGGCCACACUGGGACUGAGACACGGCCCAGACUCCUACGGGAGGCAGCAGUAGGGAAUCUUCCGCAAUGGACGAAAGUCUGACGGAGCAACGCCCCGUGAGUGAUGAAGGUUUUCGGAUCGUAAAACUCUGUUGUUAGGGAAGAACAAGUACCGUUCGAAUAGGGCGGUACCUUGACGGUACCUAACCAGAAAGCCACGGCUAACUACGUGCCAGCAGCCGCGGUAAUACGUAGGUGGCAAGCGUUGUCCGGAAUUAUUGGGCGUAAAGCGCGCGCAGGCGGUUUCUUAAGUCUGAUGUGAAAGCCCCCGGCUCAACCGGGGAGGGUCAUUGGAAACUGGGGAACUUGAGUGCAGAAGAGGAGAGUGGAAUUCCACGUGUAGCGGUGAAAUGCGUAGAGAUGUGGAGGAACACCAGUGGCGAACGCGACUCUCUGGUCUGUAACUGACGCUGAGCGCGAAAGCGUGGGGAGCGAACAGAUUAGAUACCCUGGUAGUCCACGCCGUAAACGAUGAGUGCUAGUGUAGAGGGUUUCCGCCCUUUAGUGCUGCAGCAACGCAUAGCACUCCGCCUGGGGGAGUACGUCGCAGACUGAACUCAAGGA
rnacentral:rRNA from 1 species